rnacentral:rRNA from 1 species
UACGGAGGGUGCAAGCGUUAUCCGGAUUCACUGGGUUUAAAGGGUGCGUAGGCGGGCAGGUAAGUCAGUGGUGAAAUCUCCGAGCUUAACUCGGAAACUGCCGUUGAUACUAUUUGUCUUGAAUAUUGUGGAGGUAAGCGGAAUAUGUCAUGUAGCGGUGAAAUGCUUAGAUAUGACAUAGAACACCAAUUGCGAAGGCAGCUUACUAGACAACAAUUGACGCUGAGGCACGAAAGCGUGGGGAUCAAGCAGG